CCUUACUCCUGUAACGCUGGCUUGAAUUCUUGUAUAAUUCUGCCAUCAGUAAAGCCCUCGCUAACCUGAGUGAUUCUGAAACUACACAAGCUGCAUUUGGGAGAAGGAGAAGUGUCUGGGAAGGGGCCCCGAAGAGAGGAAGAAGAACAGACGGAGACCAGGGGGAACUGGGAAGGAGCAAGUGCGGAGGCGAUCCUGAAGCUGCUGAGGAAGGAAGAUGGGGUGAGACUGGAAAAUGAAAACAGACAUGCAAAAGAAGUUUCUUCUGUAGAGAACAGCUCUUUUUCUCUUGAGGAAAGGAAGGAAGAUUUUGCAGUAAGAAGCUGGAAAAACUCCCCACCGAGUCCUGAGUAGCGGGGCCCUCUCUGAGUGCUGUGCCACUCAACCUGAAACAGAUGUCCCAUGGGAGUCUUUCCUCUCUCAGGCAGGAUCACACCCUGGCUUGCAAAUCCUCUGCCUCCUGGAACCUCACUGGCUGUACGGCUCUAAAACUAAACUUGGAAUUGAAACGUAGCUGUCAUUCCUUGAAUACACAAUUGUGUGUGACUGGCUUUUGUUGUUGCUUGGUGUUUUGUUUUUAAAGUGAGCUCGCCUCAAGCUCUUUUGCUGCAGAAAUGCACGGAAAAUAUGAGAGGAUCCUGAAAGAAUUCUCUGGCAGAGAGCACAUCUUGUUUUCGGCCGGCAUUUGUUCGUCGUCGUCGUCGUCACUACCUACAUUCCCCCGCCGUGUUCACAUAUGAAAACAAUUAUUUCUCAGUUCAGGAAGUCGGUUUUAAUCGUUAGUUUGGCUUCAAAGGAUCCAGCACCCUUUACAAGGUCAGACUAGCUCCAAAGACAGCUAGGCAGAAACUCUGGCCUGGGAGUAAGCUGAGCUUUCCUGGUAGGCAACUGCUUAGAACUUGUGCUUGAGUCCUGGAAAUGAGGAAGAUGUCCUAUCUGAGGUGGAAGGGAAGAGUUCAUCCCUGAGUGCUGGAGAGACGGUCUCAGAGAAACAACUUCCCUCGGUCUCACCUGCACUCGGUAUUCAACAAGUUCCACUGGAGAGACUCGAGCCCCACACAGGGGUCAGGGCCCUGAUUUCUUGCCCCAGAUGUGUGACCCUAGGCAAAUCCAUCAGAAUCUAGGAAUUUCUAUUUACUCAGGUGUAUGUAGGGUUUCAACCAGUCCUUCUGCUAAGCAUAAAUACCUUCUGUUUUCCUUAUUGGCUCUGCACCAUGACAACUGUAAAUUAAUCUUUAUCUUCAGACAGCAAUAGAAUUAGACGCAAUAUGAGCAUUUUGCUUUGAUGGAUAUAACAGAAAGCCUUCACAUCUGUGCACGUGGUAGGGG
rnacentral:lncRNA from 1 species